UUCUCUCAGCGAUAUAGUAAACAGCAACCAAUUUAUUGUUCGCUCGUCAUGUCGGACAGUCAAGCGCAGGAAACUGCCACAGCGGCGCCCGCUGACUCUACAGUCGCUGCCACUGCUGGGUGCCAAGUGAUAAAAACCGAAAUGGAGAAAUGUAUUAAGAACAAAGGGGAAGAGAGCUGUACGGAUUUAAUCGAGGCGUACAAGGCCUGUUUAAAAUCCCUGGGAGAGAAAGCAUAAAACUCAGGCUGUAUGGAUCACUCUGAGACCUCCAUCUUCCCAUCAUUCCUCAGCUACUUCCUGCACUGGAUCGGACCAUCCCAUGUUGUAUAAAGAAACGGGGGGGUUGGGGGCAGGUCCGAGUCAGAACCAGCAAUAAUCUGCUACCCCACCCACACUCCAGCUUCGCUUGGUUUCACCCGUACACAGAAUGUUCAGUUGAUCUCUGUAUAAAUAUAUGCAUAGUUUGAGAGAACGUGAAGUUCUAAUAAACUUGAUAGGGAUUUUA